CUCCCCUCACGGUUGUGACACCCAGCCAAGACGGGGCAGGGAGGGCUCUAUCCCUGUGUGUCACACAAAGCAGAGCCUGGAGGCAGGAAGAUGCCCACCUGCGUGGUGCAGGGACACAUUCAGAGCUCCAUCCUUGCCCCCAGGCACCUGUGGACACAGAGUUUGUACAGCACGGAUGGACUGCUCUCAAGAAAGGUCCCAGAUCUGCAGGGCUGAGGUGAUCAUCCCAGAGGACGUUGCUGCCUCUUCAUCCGGGAGCUGCAAUUUAGCCCUCUUAUGUCUCCCAGAGUCACAGAUUCUGUCCCUGAAUGCUGAGAGUGAGAGCGAGACUGCCAUCUGGUCUUCCUGAUUUAAGCACAGGCACAGAAUGAGUGCCACACUGAGGCAGUGGCAUGAGAUGUCAGGCAAGGUUCCGAGAGGUGUCCCGUAGGGUGUCACCCAAUGCUUGACCUCAUUACGAUCAGCCUCCAACAAGGACUAGAGGUAAGAAGAGGCCUCAGCUCACUGAGCAGGAGACAG
rnacentral:lncRNA from 1 species